rnacentral:rRNA from 1 species
UACGUAGGUGGCGAGCGUUGUCCGGAUUUACUGGGCGUAAAGAGCGCGCAGGCGGCUGGGCAAGUCCGAUGUGAAAGCUUCCGGCUUAACUGGAAAAUUGCAUCGGAAACUGCUCGGCUUGAAGGUGGGAGAGGGUAGCGGAAUUCCCGGUGUAGUGGUGAAAUGCGUAGAUAUCCGGAGGAACACCGGUGGCGAAGGCGGCUUCCUGGACCGACACUGACGCUGAGGCGCGAAAGCUAGGGGAGCAAACGGG